rnacentral:lncRNA from 1 species
CCUGAGUCUAAAGCACUGAUCGUGCACAAUACAGCUAGUGGCUGUCGAUCCUGACAGAGCAGUUGCCCCAGAUCGAGCAUAAGUAGACGACACAGCUCUGUCUUCAUAUCGCAAGUGAAAUGUAGGGCAGAAUGCGUGGUAAGACCGGUGAAGCGUGAUGACAAAUCUUUCAGUCUGAUCUGAAGUACGCACUGAGCUAAAGGGCUACAAGGAAGUUGGCAAGCGUUCCCAGAUUUUCACAAGCGACAACAGACACCACGAUUCGAGAUCGGUUGAUAAAGCAUAUCGAACGUAGUACUACUUAACUGAGUAAAACCACACAGAGCGAUUCGUGGUCUUGCCUCUUAACUUAUCCUUUUAUCAGUUAAUUUUCUUGUUUUACAUUUAUGCUUUCAGAUCGUUCUACCAACUCUGCAGGUAUCCAGCAACAUGAAUAACACCGCUGCUGCGAUUCCGACAGGAAUUUGCACACGCGCACAAUAGCGGUUUACAUCUUUUCGGAGCCAUUUACUAUCUUAUGCAGGCAUGCCAUGGAACCAGUGCAUAUAAUGACCUGCGUUGCAUUCUAUCUCAAAAUUACAUUGUUAUUUCCAUUUCGUCCAAUCUCUUGGAGUAAUCCCAGCAAUUAAGUUAUUGUAUGACUCGACAAGAGUCGAACCAGUAACACCAGUUCCUAUUGGUCGUUAGUGUUGUGAAAAACGGGGGUUCGGGCGCGGACAGAGGGAGAAAGCGAGAGAACGGCAGAGCAAGUGACCAGCAAAACAGUGCACCAGAUCAGACAUACAUAGCAAACAAAAGACACGAGGUCACUGGACAGGAAUAAGCAUAUAGACUUGUAACUGCUGUGAAGGCAGUGGAUGGAAAGAGUGAUGCCGUCACCAGGUGGCUCGACCGGCC